rnacentral:rRNA from 1 species
CCUACGGGGGGCAGCAGUGAGGAAUAUUGGUCAAUGGCCGGAAGGCUGAACCAGCCAUGCCGCGUGAAGGUCAGUGCCAUAUGGGCGUUAAACUUCUUUUGUGCGGGAGCAAUAAUGGUCACGUGUGGCCAGACGAGAGUACCGUACGAAUAAGCAUCGGCUAACUCCGUGCCAGCAGCCGCGGUAAUACGGGGGAUGCAAGCGUUAUCCGGAUUUAUUGGGUUUAAAGGGUGCGUAGGCUGUGAGGUAAGUCAGCGGUGAAAUGCCCCCGCUCAACGGGGUGAAGUGCCAUUGAUACUGCCUUGCUUGAAUGUGGAUGCGGUGGGAGGAAUGUGUGGUGUAGCGGUGAAAUGCAUAGAUAUCACACAGAACACCGAUUGCGAAGGCAUCUCACGAAUCCGCGAUUGACGCUGAUGCACGAAAGCGUGGGUAUCAAACAGGAUUAGAUACCCCUGUAGUC